CUAUAAGACCUCUAAGGUCUUUGCUGGCACUAACAUUCUGUGUCAGUUGGUCAGGCCCAGCAGAUGUAACAGCUACAAUAGGAGUGAUAUUUUAAAAGGCAUGAGUUGUUUUAAUUGUUCUUUCAAAAAAUUGAAAUAAUUUCAAGACCUUUCAAUCCUUCCAUAGACCUUCUUCAAUCUCCACUGUCAAUUUUCUUUUCUUCCUAUUUGAAAGCAAAAUGUAUGGCCAAGAUAUGUCCAGCAGUGUACAGAAAUAGCAAAGCUGAUAUAUUUAUCAGUAGGAGAGGGUUAUAGGACUUCAGAGACUCUUGUGUUCAUUUGAAGAGUUAAAACUUCCUAGAGAAGAUUCUGAUCACCAAGCAUCGAUGACCAACAAUUGCCAGUGAGACCAGAUUUGGAUUUUGUAAGAUAACUAACAGUUAUUUCAAGGAUUGCUCAACUAUAUUUUGCAGAGGAAAAGAGGCAAUCUGCACAGCAUCUGUUGGAAGGAGGUUGUAUGUUUUUAUUUUCCUACGCUAUUUUCAUACAGUGAAACAUACCUACACAUGAAAGUGUUUCAAGUUCUUUGAAAGAAAAGUAAUACCAGGGAAGGAGGGAACGACUUUCAUCAAGAGCACAGCUUCUAAAGUGGAGACCAAGUUGCUAGGACCAGAUUAUGUCCCAGGAUUCUGAAACAAGAGGAUACAAGUGGUGGGAUACCGUCAAUGAUCUUGAACAAUCAUGGAGAAGAAUACUUCAUUAAAGUACUGAGGAGAAGCAAAUAUUCCACUUAUCUAAAGAGGGAAAGAGUUAAAAUCCUCACAAUUUAGGUCAAUAAGCUUGACCUAGAUUCUUAUUAAAAUUCUAGAAUGUUGUCAAAGACAAAGCUAAUGAACAUCUAGAAAAAGAAACAAUGUCCAUAAGAAGUUAACAUGGCUUUAUCAAGAAUCAAUUAUGUCAGACUUUUGUCAUACUAGAUAUGUGAUAUUAGGUAGAUAGCUCAAUGGAAUAUUAUAAAUAUAAUUUGCUAAGAUUUUAGCAAAGUAUUUAAUCAAGUGUUUCUUGCAAAAAAGAUGGAAGCUUGCAGUUAGGUAAUUUAAGACCAUUUUAACCAUUAAAUAGUUAGACUUCAAAAGUACUGAGUACUAUGUUAAUGUUCUGAUGUGAACUUUCAAGAUUUCUAACCCCUAGAUUUCCUUGCCUCUAUGCUAACAUUUUUAUAAAUGCCUUAGAGAAGAAUAAAUCUCUCAUUUAUCAAAUUAUCAGAUAACACCAAAUUAGAAGUAUAGAUAAAAUACAGGAUGAUAGAGGAUUCAAAAAGACCCUGACCAGAUUAGAAUGCUGGGUUAAAUCUAACAAAAUAAUAUUUAAUAGAAUAAAUUUAAAGUUCUGUGGUUAGGCUCUAAAAAAAAUAACUAUAAAUACAAAAUUGUUUGGUUAGGUAACAAUUUAUCCGAAAAAGAUAUUAAGCAUUAAGUGGACCAUAAAUUCAUUCUGAGAUAAUAGCUCAAUAUGGCAUCCCCCCAAAAGCUAAUACAAUCUUGGGCUGCAUUAAGAAAGUCACAGGUCUGUAGUGGGAAGGAUCAUAUUCUCUCAAAAAAAUUAUACUUUAACUACAACUUGAGUACUAUGUUCAGUGCUGAGGAACAUAUUAUAGAAGGGUUUCAAGAUAAUGUCAUGUAAGGACUGGCUAAAAGAAUCAAGGAUGUAUAAUCUUUGGAAGAGAAAACUUAACAGAAUACCAGAAUUGUUUCAGAAGUUUAACAUAUGGAAGAGGGAUUAGAACUUCUUAUGCUUAGAAACAAUGGUUGGAAGGGAGAGUAGUAGUUUUCAAUUUGACAUUAAGAAAACUUUCACAUAUUUAGAAUUAUCCAAAAGUAGAGAGGGCUUUAUCAGGAAGCAGUGGUUUCCUCAUAAAAGGUUUUUGAACUAGGGUGUUAAGAAUAUUUUUAUUCAGAUGUAACUUGGUCUGGAUGACUUCAAAAAUCCCUUCCAAAAUCACAUUCUCAGGUCCUAACUCUUGUUAUAUUAAGUCCUUAGAUUUAGGAAUGGGAAAAGGACACCAAAAGGAAUGUUUUAAGAGAUCAAUUUGGCAGGACAGAUUAGAAAAGCUGGAGGAAAACUAGAUACAGGAAUGCUACUUAAAAAGUUUCUAUAUAGUACAGGAAUGAGACGAAAGACUCAAAAUAGAUUGGCUGACAGGAAUGGAAAAACAGAGAUGCAAAAUAUUUUAGACAAAGGACAGAUUGAACUUGGGAAGAACUUGAAUAUAGAGACUUAAAGAUAGGAAGGAGUCAAAUAUGACUCCUAAAUUUCUAGCUAAGGUAACUGAGAUGAUGUUGGAACUUUUAUCAAAAAUGGGGAUGUCAGAAGAUGAAAAUGACUUGGAAAAGAAGAUGAUGAAUUUGGUUUUAGAUUUGUUCAGUUCAUGGUGUUGGCACGAUAAAAUGAGAGCUGUGAAAAGAAGCUAGGACUGAUAGGAAUGUAUCUAAAUCAUUCCAGAAACAGUCAUGUCUCUAUGUUUCUUAAAGAUAAUCAAGGAAGGAGAUUCCAUAAUAUCCCUAGGUAUUCCAUUCAAACACCUUUCUAUCCCCAGAAAUACUCAUUAUAAUAAAUCUCAAGAAAAAACAUGUUCAGAACUUUGGGCACCCAAUAAUUAGAGAUACAAUCCCAUUUUAAUAUAUACUAUUAUAUUGUCCAAGUCCACAUAACAAUACAAUUUUCAUAUCCCUGUGAGGGGCCUGUAUUAGCAUUAGCUUUGCUGAUGUUAUUAUUAAGAAAAUUUUUAAAUGAAAAAAUUGGUCCCCAUCCAAAUAGGAGUAAAUUUUUAUAAUAAAGAUAUUGUCUUGUUAUUUUGCUUUCUAACAUAACCACAUUUUAAUGAA